rnacentral:lncRNA from 1 species
GUUUCAGCAAAAACUACCAAAAAGAUCUUGGUGCUCCUGUGUGAUGAGUCGGGUUUCCUCAUAGAGAGCAAACUACUGAGUCUGCUCCUCCCCCUGGAGAAGAGUGAGUGCUAUCUGCUGAGGUUGGAUGCCAUCUUUUCUGCCCUGGGAAUCGAGAGCGAGGAUGACUUGUACAAGAUGGUUUUGAUUCCUCAUGGGGUCCUGGCUCUCUCCUCUGCCUCAGUCUAUGGCACAGACCCUGGGUUCUGAUGUGGCUGGCACCUCCCUCCACCAUAUCUUCUUCUCUUGUAGCUGUUUAGGCGAUAUGCUGGAGUUAAGUACUGAUCCUGGACCUGGUGGAGUUGACAGCAUCUAUGCCAGGAAUGGCUAAUAGUAUUGGCUUCAUUAUUAGUCUUUUCUAUUUGCAAAGGGCAGAAUGGCUGGGGGAGGGAUGGGAUGUUGUUCUAUAUUGAGAUCCAAGGACUCUUUUCCUGGGUUUUCCUCAAAACCAGGCUUUAAGCACUGUAAAACAUGAAUGCACUGCAUUCUGGGUAUUCUGAUCAAUCACAGUUUCCUAGGAAGCAGGACUCAUUUGUGACACCAUGAAUAUUGUGUUGUAAAUAAUUUCAGAAGGAGACACAAAGAACAACUUUGUGGAGAGUCACUUUCAACGUUUUAAGUUUUUAAGUUAAACAUCGAAAAUAAAAAUGGUUUUAGUAUUGUU